rnacentral:tRNA from 1 species
GGUAGGAUGGCCGAGUGGUCGAAGGCGGUUGAUUCAAGUAUUUGUUGAAUAUUUCGGCGUUUGCGACGCUGGUUCCCAACUUAUCCUGGGUUCGAAUCCCAGUUCUACCA